rnacentral:rRNA from 2 species
UGAGUAACACGUAGGUAACCUGCCCAGAAGCGGGGGACAACAUUUGGAAACAGAUGCUAAUACCGCAUAACAGCGUUGUUCGCAUGAACAACGCUUAAAAGAUGGCUUCUCGCUAUCACUUCUGGAUGGACCUGCGGUGCAUUAGCUUGUUGGUGGGGUAACGGCCUACCAAGGCGAUGAUGCAUAGCCGAGUUGAGAGACUGAUCGGCCACAAUGGGACUGAGACACGGCCCAUACUCCUACGGGAGGCAGCAGUAGGGAAUCUUCCACAAUGGGCGCAAGCCUGAUGGAGCAACACCGCGUGAGUGAAGAAGGGUUUCGGCUCGUAAAGCUCUGUUGUUAAAGAAGAACACGUAUGAGAGUAACUGUUCAUACGUUGACGGUAUUUAACCAGAAAGUCACGGCUAACUACGUGCCAGCAGCCGCGGUAAUACGUAGGUGGCAAGCGUUAUCCGGAUUUAUUGGGCGUAAAGAGAGUGCAGGCGGUUUUCUAAGUCUGAUGUGAAAGCCUUCGGCUUAACCGGAGAAGUGCAUCGGAAACUGGAUAACUUGAGUGCAGAAGAGGGUAGUGGAACUCCAUGUGUAGCGGUGGAAUGCGUAGAUAUAUGGAAAGAACACCAGUGGCGAAGGCGGCUACCUGGUCUGCAACUGACGCUGAGACUCGAAAGCAUGGGUAGCGAACAGGAUUAGAUACCCUGGUAGUCCAUGCCGUAAACGAUGAGUGCUAGGUGUUGGAGGGUUUCCGCCCUUCAGUGCCGGAGCUAACGCAUUAAGCACUCCGCCUGGGGAGUACGACCGCAAGGUUGAAACUCAAAGGAAUUGACGGGGGCCCGCACAAGCGGUGGAGCAUGUGGUUUAAUUCGAAGCUACGCGAAGAACCUUACCAGGUCUUGACAUCUUGCGCCAACCCUAGAGAUAGGGCGUUUCCUUCGGGAACGCAAUGACAGGUGGUGCAUGGUCGUCGUCAGCUCGUGUCGUGAGAUGUUGGGUUAAGUCCCGCAACGAGCGCAACCCUUGUUACUAGUUGCCAGCAUUAAGUUGGGCACUCUAGUGAGACUGCCGGUGACAAACCGGAGGAAGGUGGGGACGACGUCAGAUCAUCAUGCCCCUUAUGACCUGGGCUACACACGUGCUACAAUGGACGGUACAACGAGUCGCGAACUCGCGAGGGCAAGCAAAUCUCUUAAAACCGUUCUCAGUUCGGACUGCAGGCUGCAACUCGCCUGCACGAAGUCGGAAUCGCUAGUAAUCGCGGAUCAGCAUGCCGCGGUGAAUACGUUCCCGGGCCUUGUACACACCGCCCGUCACACCAUGAGAGUUUGUAACACCCAAAGUCGGUG